rnacentral:sRNA from 1 species
GUUGCCGGGGCUGCGGGCGGGAACCCAGGGGCGUCCCACCGUCAGCCUCGGCGUCGUGGGUCUUGCUCGCGCUGUACACCCGAGGACCUGCAGUGGGACCUGGUGGGAGACUUUGCCUGGCUGGCGCUGCGUCGGGUUCUGUGCCCCGCCGGUGUUCUCUCACCAGGGCACAUGGUUUUCUCCGUGGGUUCAGAGCAGAAGCUCACUUUGUUACGCCAAGGAAGAAAAAUACAAACCAUUUACAUCUGAUUUCUCUGCUUGCUGCCCAGGAAUCGGAGGGUCUGGGAUAAAAGUGAAAGUGGUGAUUGGCAUUGUACUGCUAGCUGGAAGACACAUAGUGGAUCUGUAUGGCGUGUGACAUGGGCCCAUCCUGAAUUUGGACAGGUUUUGGCUUCCUGUUCUUUUGACCGAACAGCUGCUGUAUGGGAAGAAAUAGUAGGAGAAUCAAAUGAUAAACUGCGAGGACAGAGCCACUGGGUUAAAAGGACAACUCUGGUGGAUAGCAGAACAUCUGUUACUGAUGUGAAGUUUGCUCCCAAGCACAUGGGUCUUAUGUUAGCAACCUGUUCGGCAGAUGGUAUAGUAAGAAUCUAUGAGGCACCAGAUGUUAUGAAUCUCAGCCAGUGGUCUUUGCAGCAUGAGAUCUCAUGUAAGCUAAGCUGUAGUUGUAUUUCUUGGAACCCUUCAAGCUCUCGUGCUCAUUCCCCCAUGAUCGCCGUAGGAAGUGAUGACAGUAGCCCUAACGCAAUGGCCAAGGUUCAGAUUUUUGAAUAUAAUGAAAACACC